AGGAGUUAAUCACAGAAAGUAAAGAGAUUUGACAGAGUAUGUGAGACAAGAGAAAGUAAAAGAAGAGCAAAGAGACAAACAUGGAGGGAGCACUGGAAGACACGGGCACGGUGGCAACACUGCUUACGCAGCCUCCUAUUUCUGGAUACUGUGAGAGAUUCAUGAACAGUGGGAGCGCGGGGCCAAUCGAUCUGGCUGACAAACACAGCAGUUUGUCUGGCAGUGGAGAUACACAAACAUGGCAGCUGCAGCUCGCCGUUCCCCUCGGAAGGCAAUCAGGACUUGUGCCUCGCGAGAUCAAAUACCAAAUAAAAAGGAGGUUAAUUAGCCAUUAUCUGUCCUGCCAGAUAGAACUGAUGAAGAACAAAAAAAAAUCAAUUUGCUUAGGGACUGUAUGAAAAUACUUAGGGGGGAGGGGAGUUUAGAAAGGGGAGGGUUAGUAUUUUUUUUUUUUGGGGUUUGCCAUAAUUUUGGCAAAUGCUAAUUCUACUUCUAUUGUUUUUAACAAAUUAAGGUUUAAAUUGGAUUACACCAUCUUAAAUUCGUUGUGCACUAAUGGCAAAAUGAUUUGUAUCAAUCAAAUGUAUUAUACCCUUUGAGAUUUGUGCGGAGGGAGUUGUAAUUUUUCUUAGUCAAGGGAAAGGUUAGAAUAUAUAAUAAUGCUGGAGAGGGCCUUGCUUUAAAAAAAAAAAAAGAAACAUAAUGUUCAGCCAACCUCCCGCCCAAAUACUUUUCAUACAGUCCCUUAAGUCCCACUUAUUAGGUUAAAUGCUUAAAUGCUUAAGCAAUAUUUUAAUUUCUUGAAGUCAGAGGCUACUUACACAGAGACUUACACAGAGUCUUCUUUCAUGUGUGACCCAUAAAGCAGCUGCUGUUAAUUCUGCAGUAUCAUUUUCAGCUUGUAUUGAAAUUAAAUUAAAAUGCAUGUCUGUCCAAAACCCUAGACAGUAUUUGUUUUCAAUGUGCAAUAAUUUCCUGUACUCGGGUGCCUGGCUGUACUUGUUUCUUGGUCCAUCUAAGCAAGGGAUGAAUAUAAACACACAUUUGUACAUCUUAAAUAGAAACUGAAAUGAGCCUGUACCGACUGAAUUUCUGAGCUGAACUCAGAACUGUUUCCUUUUGUUGGAGAAGUAAUCCUGAUGAACAUGCUGCUGUUCAUGUUAAUGCAAAGUCUUUAGACACGCUUUAAAAGACUCAAAUGGCAAAACUCUCCGAUCUGAGUCUAAAUGAAUGAAUUUCAAUCCAUGCAUGUCUCCAGGAAACAAGAACAAUCAGCUUGUGGUGAUCACAAAGUUCUUCCCUUUUAGUAGACAAACUUUUGGUGUCUUGCCAUUUCAUCUUUAGACUCUCACAAACAAGUCAAGCCAGUCAUCCAUUGCUCAGUACUAUCAGAGUGGAGAUAAACAGUAGCUCUGCUUUCCAUUAAACCUCCUCUGAUAACUCCUUUUGUUUUGCAGUAUGUUUAUGUGAUUGAUUGACUGAACUCUGGAAUAUAUUCAUUUUUCUAGUCUAUAAUCUUAAAGGCUGAGACCGCAGACAAACCCAAGCACCCAAGAAUAAAGGCUGAAAGGUAGGUUUUCUACAUUGGGUUGGUUUUCUUUGUCACUUGGGGAUAAAUUGUGACACCACUUCAAAAUUGGAGUAAUAACAAAUCAUAGUUGAUGGCUGACACCGGUUGUUAGCAGUGCAGUUAAAACGAUUUAUCAUAUUUUUACAACAGAAGUAGAACCAAAAGAGAGACAUUGAACCAAACACGAAUUAAAACAAAACAAAGAGAGUGCUGAGGGUGUUGUUAAAGAGUUUUAAUCAAGCAAUAAUUCAAAAAGCUUAGAACAGAAUCAGGUUAGGAACAGGUGACCGGCCACAACACUUCAAAACAUACAAACGCUUACAAGUAUCCACUGCAAAGUUGAAGGCGUUACAAAACAGGGAUCAGCACCGAUCCACUGCUGGUUCAAACAAACUCUCCAACGGAGUCAAAGACACAUGAACCUGAGGUGAGCACACUGAUGUGGGGGGGAGAACCCCCUCUUCGUCCAAGACACUGGGGGUUAGAGUACAGUAUCACACAAGUUUUGGUUUUGACUGUGAGCUGUUCUGCUAAAGCCUGAUUCAUAUACAAUAAUCACUCCUGUGUUGCAUAUAUGACUGACUCUGUCUGCCAUUCAACAAAUUCAUAUGCAAAUGAAGACUUCAAAGUUUUAUCUAUUUUUUAUGCAUCUUCAUUUCUGCUUGAAUAGCUAACGUUCAUGCAAACUUAAUUUUCCCUCCAAUUAGCGCAUCAUUCCCCCUGGAAUUUGAAAUGAUGAUUCAAAUGCAGAUUUCCUGCAGUUGUUCAUGUCCUGAGACUGGAGUUUGUCGUUUUUGGCGUCAUCUCACAAUUUAUGAAACUUCUCUUGCGUACGGUCUUAACAUUUUUUCAAAGCCCAGACUCGGACUUGGAUUGAAAAUUAUGUGAAUAAGUCAGACAAAGGACAUAAAAAGCACAGUUUGUAAAUGGCUCCACACCUGCCAAAUAUUUAUACAAUUCAGCAUUACUCAAGUAAGCAUGCAUAUUCAAGACCCAACAGAAAACACUGACACAAUACUGCAGCCUAAAAGUCAAAGUAUGCAUUAAGAACGUCUGUGUAGAAUCUGUGCACACAGACACAGAGUAGAUCAGCCAUUAAGCUAAAAUUUCCGUCUUCAUGAUGAAUUUUUGCUGGAAAAAAUGAGUAUUUGCAGCAGAAAGUUAGUGCAGUUGAUUUUUUGCUAGAGGCAACAGAGGUGGGACGAACCUGUCUGUCAUUCACUUGACAUGUGAAUACUCAUCAUUUGAAGGCAAACCCUUGGUGAAUACAUAAAUAUAUAUUUCUACAACUUUGUUUUAGUACACUUGUUAUCAAUAUGGAGAGUAAUGUACAAUUUUAUGGCAUAAAGAAUAAGAAUAUCAAACAAAUACGGCAGCAAAUUGGUCACCAGUCUAAUGCUGAAUGAAAGCUUCACAAUUUGUUCUGUUGACAUUUUCCCUGAACAUUUCAUGAGUAAUAUUUUACAAAAGCAAUACAAUUUCUGAUCAGAAGAACAGGUUAAAGCAAAGAUUUGUGGCAUACAGUAUAUAUAAAAGCUUUUUUAUCCUGAAUCUUACGCUGAACACCUUUUUCUUUGUAUAUAAUAGACAUAAGGUGCAGGGGGAAAUGCAUAUUUUCAUGCUGCUGAAUGAUUUAUUUGCAAUUUCCUUGCCAAAGCACUCUGACUGGCACUCUGCAGGGUUAGAUGGACAGAAUAAAAGCCUAUAAUCAGAGAGAGUUUUUUUUUUUGGUUCGCUGUACCACAGCUCUCCUUUCAAACCAAUAUCAGCAUUGUCCAUGUUUUAAGACAGACGUCAAAAUGAGCUGACAUGACUCGUGAUGUAUAGCAACAGUUCCAUUUCCUCUUUCUGAAAGCACUACAAGAGGCUUUGAGAUUUAGCUUCAGCACGCUGCAUUAGUGUUGUCAGGAUAACCACAAUUUCAAUGUAUGUUCAAUGUAAAUAUUUUCACACACAUUUGGUGCGGAAGCUGAAAUUCCAUUUCAUCAUCACCUCCAGAGGGCAUCACUGAGUGCACGGCCCAUGGACUGCAAAAAGGGGUUGAACCAAGAGAGCUGCAGUCUGGUUCUUAAUAGCUAUGGCAACAGUGCCAAGCUGCCCAUCAUGUCUGGAAGUAGAUCCCAGUCUGUCUAAACUGAUGGACAAACUGGUACAAAGAGUACAAAGGGAACUUUCUCUACCACAGCAAAGACGGGCACUAAACGGACACCAAUGUAAAAACGUGUCUGAUCUGUAAGGUUUUUAUAUUUACUAAUGGUCAAAACAAAAUGAUGGUAUCUUGACAACACUAGAGUACAAAGUAAUUUAAAAGCAAUGCAGGCUCUAAUGCCUCAUAAUCACUUGUCUGCAAGAUAAGCCUGUUCUUACUUUAUAGAAUGCAGACUCUAGUAUAUAUUCCCAAACAGGGGGUGAUAAUAUGCUCCUACUCUAAUAUAUAUCAUUAUAUGCUAAUAUACAUCUUAUAUCUCUUUGAUCAUUUAUAGCAUAAUGUGAUCAUUAACUUUCAAAGUGACUUAGCAGACUGCUGUACCAUGCAAACAGUAGUGAAGUACCUCCCUGCAGCUGACACACUCUAUAAAGCAGCCAUAUGAACUAUCUGCAUUAGGGACAUUAGGUACUCUACCUAAUGCCUCUACAAAAGCCAAAAUAAUGUACCAGUAUUACAUCUAAAUGAUACAGGCAUGAAUUUCCCCAUCUCUCACAUGAUCAUCAUCAUCAUCAUCAUCAUCAUCAUCAUCAUUUAGGGAAGUACCUGAACUGAAACAUGGCUGUUCUUAACUCCAGCUUGACAAAUGUUCUAAUAAACAAACUGCAUAACAAUUCCACCAAAUCACAUCUACAACAGAUAUAUUAAAUUUAACUGAAGAUAAAAAUGCUACUAAUGUCAGUACCAUUCAAAUAAAAGAAAAACUGAACAGCAUAGAAAUGCUUCCUUAAAUGAUUCAAAAUCACAGCCUCUUUGUAAUAAAAAAGAAAGAAUAAGGCAAACCCUACCCAAAGUCAUUUUCCAGUGUCGAUUCAUAACCUACUAGUCAGUUAAUGUGAAUCAUAGGACAAUGUCUGACUUCGGGCCACCAUAAAAACAACAGUAAAAC